GAUGAACGCUGGCGGCGUGCCUAAUACAUGCAAGUCGAGCGAACAGACGAGGAGCUUGCUCCUCUGACGUUAGCGGCGGACGGGUGAGUAACACGUGGAUAACCUACCUAUAAGACUGGGAUAACUUCGGGAAACCGGAGCUAAUACCGGAUAAUAUAUUGAACCGCAUGGUUCAAUAGUGAAAGACGGUUUUGCUGUCACUUAUAGAUGGAUCCGCGCCGCAUUAGCUAGUUGGUAAGGUAACGGCUUACCAAGGCGACGAUGCGUAGCCGACCUGAGAGGGUGAUCGGCUACACUGGAACUGAGACACGGUCCAGACUCCUACGGGAGGCAGCAGUAGGGAAUCUUCCGCAAUGGGCGAAAGCCUGACGGAGCAACGCCGCGUGAGUGAUGAAGGUCUUCGGAUCGUAAAACUCUGUUAUUAGGGAAGAACAAAUGUGUAAGUAACUAUGCACGUCUUGACGGUAUCUAAUCAGAAAGCCACGGCUAACUACGUG
rnacentral:rRNA from 1 species